UCCAAGUGAUUCAUUCGGGCGAAUAAGUGCUGCUAAUAUCGAAUAAUGUCUCAGGAACAUCGAAUGAGAUCACGGGUGACCGUCAUUAUGCAUUAAUUAACGUACGCGAUGUAAAGUCGUUCGAUCGAAUCUGUCUUUUCAUUGAUAGUAUGAAGUUGCUCCGCGAUCGUUUGCGAUUUUUCCACCAUGUUCUGUGUUUUCCACCAUGGCCGAAACCCGAAACAUCGAAUAAAAUCUCGGAAAUGCCAAAUAAGUUCUCGGAAGUCGAAUAAUAUUUCGUAAAUGCUGGGUAAAGUUGGAUAAAUAAAUCGCACUAAUUCUGGUAUAAUCUGUCUUUCCCUUCGGUGAUGACAAACCAUCAUCGUCUGUACUAAAAUUUUUUUCGGGAUGCUGUUUUAUUCUAUGAGGUUUUAUUCUAUGAGGUAUUCUAUGGGGAGAAAAUUAUGCCACUUAAUAAACGACAAUAUUCUAGAAAACGGGAUCAUCUGAUAGCUUCCUAUGUAACUCGGAACGAUGAGGUCUCGUUCGUUAAUCGACUCCCGUGGCUUUCCGCCAAUAUCGAAUGUC